rnacentral:rRNA from 1 species
UACGGAGGGUGCGAGCGUUGUCCGGAAUUACUGGGCGUAAAGGGCUCGUAGGCGGCCAACUAAGUCAGACGUGAAAUCCCCAGGCUUAACCUGGGAAUUGCGUCUGAUACUGGAUGGCUUGAGAUUGGGAGAGGGAUGCGGAAUUCCAGGUGUAGCGGUGAAAUGCGUAGAUAUCUGGAGGAACACCGGUGGCGAAGGCGACAUCCUGGACCAACACUGACGCUGAGGAGCGAAAGCCAGGGGAGCAAACGGG